rnacentral:rRNA from 1 species
UACGUAGGGUGCGAGCGUUAAUCGGAAUUACUGGGCGUAAAGCGUGCGCAGGCGGUUUUGUAAGCCAGGUGUGAAAUCCCCGGGCUCAACCUGGGAAUGGCAUUUGGGACUGCAAGGCUGGAGUGCGGCAGAGGAGACUGGAAUUCCUGGUGUAGCAGUGAAAUGCGUAGGUAUCAGGAGGAACACCGAUGGCGAAGGCAGGUCUCUGGGCUGACACUGACGCCCAUGCACGAAAGCGUGGGGAGCAAACAGG